UAAACUCAACCUUUCUUCACACAUCCUGCCACAUUUUGUCCAUAUUAAUGUUAUAUCAGUGAUGAUGAGGAGCCAGCCUCUGAAGUAGGCAGUCUCUAUCGCCAUUCGUCCAAACUCAUGUGAAAUCGAAUCUGAAAUAAAUUUUAACCGCAACAACCACUUAUCGAAAAUUCAGUACUCCAAUAACUUAAUACAUGAACAAACUAGAUAAAAAUCAUAUCAUCCAGACAAAAACAAGAGGACCAUGAACAAAUCUAAUCUAAAAACAAGCUAUUAAUGACAACUCUUAAAAACCAUUAGAUUAGAUCUGUUGAUACUGAAAGUAAGGGUCAAGUUAGAACUAAUAUAGUUGUUCCAAUGAGGGCCCCUAAAUCAAUGAUGUAGGGAAGAAAUAUGAACAAAAGAACCAAACCAAAGAAUUUUUGCACCUAACAACCAAGAAUAGAAAGGAAAAAAAAUGAAAUGCUGGAAAGUGAGAUUUUUACAAAAAUUUCUAUGAGCAUUACACUGAAUCCAAGAUCAAGGGUGUGUUUGGCAGGAUUUUUGACUUAUUUUCUCAUGUUUGGUUGGUAAGUAGAAAUAUUUUUAGUGUUUAAUUUAUAAAUGAAAUUUUAUUUUUUACUGGAGUAAAAAAUAAUUUUUGAAACUGAAAAUAUUUUUAAAAAACAAACUUAUUUUUUUUGGGGGGGGGGGGGGGCUAUAAGGGAGACUGCCGGUGUGUGUGUGUGGAGGGGGGAGGGGGUUGACUUCGAGUUUGUAUAGUAAGUCACGUUUGUAUAUGUAUAAUUCGCCAAAAUAUACAAAUAAGUAUGUAUGCAAAUUUUAUCCCUACCUCACAGAAAUUAAUAGAGAGGUUAUUUCCGAUAGACCUUCGGCUUAAAAAAAGGUUCUUGCAACAUUAAUCAAAUAAUCAUAGGCAUAUAUCUAUGUGCAUGUGUUGAUCAAACAAAAAUUUGCAUACUGAGAAGUAAAAAACCAGAUUUUCUUAUUCCAUCAUCACAGUUUCUCCCUCUCCUCAUUGUUUAAGAGCAACAAUCGCAAGUUUUUCUGUAAGAUUUUAUAAGGGAGAUGCAACUUGUUCCCUAACAAUAAUAUCAAUUCUAAGCCGAUUAGAAAAUUAGAUCGCAAUAAGCUAGUAACUAUGCUCGAUGUUCUAAGAUGAGAACAAAUUAAAUAUGUUCCUUAAGGAUGUUGAUGUUACGACCCGAUUAUGAAAACUAAAAGGUUUCAAAAUCAAUUUCCCAACUUUGACAAUUUACUAAUUAUUUGGAAAAAUUAAGAAAACCAUAAAAAAAUUGAUUUUUGUAAGAAAACAUUUUUUUGAAUAAAACUAGCAUUGUGUAAGGGUUCAAUUAUUUUUUAAAGAAAGGUUUAGACAUCUUAGAAAAUCCACAAUCACACGGUUUAUCGAUGUAUUUAAACAUUUGACUAAUUUUAAAGAAAACUUAAGAUUUAUUUGUGAAAAAUCUUGUUUUUUUCUAAAAAAAAGAAUAAUAAAAAUCUAUUAAUGCUUAAACACUCAUCUUAUUCCAAGUAUGAAAUAAGUCAAAUGUUAAAUGUCAAAAUAAUAAUUUUAACCUAUCAUUUUUAUCCAUGUUAAAUUUUGAUUUGAAAAGUCAACACAAUAACUUCAAUGUGAAUUCGAAAGCUAAAUACUAACUAUGAAAGAAUAUGAAUUAUUGUCAAGUUUUAGUUUUAAAAGCUUAGAUUGCCUAACUUAAAAGAAAUUUGAAAAGUUUAAAUACUUAAAGCAAAAUGAAUAGAAAAUUUCUCAGAGGAUUCAUCUAAAUUAACAAAAUAAAACGUUAAAACGAUAGCGAUCAUCAACCAUAUUCACAAGUAGAGUAAAGAACUAAAUAAAAUAAAUAAAUGGAUGUGAAGGAAUAUUGAUUGUAUUGAAGUGUUAACCUAAUAAGGGAAUACAUGGGAGAUAUAUAUAGGAGAUAUAGGAAGGAGUACUAAUCCUAAUAGGACUAGGAUUAAGGAGUACUAAUCCUAAUAGGACUAGGAUUAGUACACAGUAAAUACUAAUAUUAUUUAAUACUAUUUACUUAAUACUAUCUGUUACUAUCCCCCCUUAAGCUGAGCUGAGCGGAAGCGAACGGAAGCUUGGAACUGAGGUAAUCGUGCUGUCGCUCAGGAGAGGCUUGGUGAGAAUAUCAGCCAGUUGUUCUUCAGUGGGUACAUACUGCACAGUCAUGAUGCCGGCCUGAACUUCAUCGCGAACAAAGAGACAAUCGGUAUCAACAUGCUUCAUUCUGGUGUGUAGGACGAAAUUCUUGGCCACACAGAUGGUUGAUUUGUUGUCACAAUAGAGAGCAGGAACAGUGUGAGUGGCACAGAGUUCGCGAAGAAUAUAUGUGACCCACAUGGUCUCAGCAGCAAGAAGAGCAAGGGCGCGGUAUUCAGCUUCAGUCGAGGACCGAGAGACCUUGGGUUUUUUUUUGAACACCAGGAGAUCAGGUUCGGCCCCAAAAAAAUGAGAAACCCCGAUGUAGAUUUUCUGUCAUUUUUAUCAUUUGCCCAAUCUGAAUCUGAGAAACCCCGAAGCUCCAAGUCCCCGGGUCGAAUGAGUAAACCACGACCAAGAGUGCCAAAUAUGUACCUGAGAAUGCGUUUUAGACAAUGGUAAUCAUGUUCACUUGGUUGAUGCAUGCGCUGAGCAACUCGGUUGACAGCAAACUGGAUGUCAGGACGGGUAAUGACCAGAUACUAUAGAGCCCCAAUGAGGCUGCGGAAGUGGGUGAUAUCGGCAAAGGGGGUGUCGACUCCAUUCGUAGAUGAAGAGACUGCCAUCGGUGUUGGUUGACUGGUGCAUUUUUCCAGUCCAGCUUUCUGCAACAGAUCUCGAGCAUAUUUUGACUGAUGAAGAAAAAAGCCGCUGCCUGUCCGAGAAACCUCCAUUCCCAGAAAAUAAUGUAACGGGCCAAGGUCCUUCAUUUUGAAGGUAGUAUGCAUAGCUCGAGUGACAUCCUGAAUGAGAGCUGCAGUAGAGCCUGUAAUAAUGAUAUCAUCUACAUAGACAAGAAGAAUGACUGUACCGUGUGCUGAAUAUCGAGUAAACAAACUCGUGUCGUGUACGCCACACGUGAAGCCGAGUCCCUGGAGGAACGUUUUCAGACGUGCGUACCAAGCACGGGGGGCUUGCUUGAGCCCAUACAGAGACUUCUGGAGUUUGCAAACAUGUUGAGGGAAGCGAGGAUCAACAUAGCCCGGUGGUUGCGUCAUGUAGAUUGUUUCAUCAAGCAUGCCAUGAAGAAAAGCAUUGGAAACAUCCAACUGAUUGAUGAGCCAAUUGUUGCGCACGGCGAGUGACAGUACCAGGCGAAUGGUUUCCUGCCGAAUAACAGGACUGAAUGUCUCGGAGUAAUCAAGCCCAUACUCCUGAUUGUAGCCUUUAGCAACCAAACGAGCCUUGUACUUAGAAAUACUGCCAUCUGCAUUAUGUUUAAUUUUGUACACCCAUUUACAGCCCACUGGGUGCCGCCCAUAGGGCUUAGGUACAAGAACCCAAGUUUUUUGAUCAGUUAAAGCCUUAAACUCGUCAUCCAUAGCAUGACGCCAAUAAGCAUUUUUUGAUGCAAAAGAGUAGGUUGUUGGUUCACUAUCGGGAAGGGAUGUAUUUGGUAGUAUGGUAGCCUGAAAGGUUUUGGGUUUAAAGAUACCGGCUUUGCCACGGGUUAACAUGGGAUGAGUAUUGGGGGGUGGCACGGGUGGUGGUGAUUCGGGGGUGGCCGGGAAGGACCCAAAACGGAUCGGGCUGGAGAUGUUGUGGGUAUGGGAUGGUUCGGGUUGGUUGUGAGUGUGGGUGGUGGUUGCUGGUGUAUUGUGGGUGACGAUCGAAGGGGUGAUGAGGGGUGGUUGGGUAGUGGGUGGAGGUGUGAGGGAAGGUGGUGAGGGACCCUGUGAGUAUGUUGGAAAAAGGGGAAGGACGCCAAUGAAUGAUGUAUUUGUGGAGGAGGAAAUAGACUCGUAGGGAAACUCAUUUUGGACAAAUUUGACAUGACGAGAUAUGUAGACUUUAUGAGUUUGUGGGUCAAGACAGCGAUAACCCUUGGAGGUAGGAUGAUAGCCCAAAAAAAUAAAAAGGACGGGAUCAGGGUUGUAAUUUAUGAGUAAUAUGAGGGCGUAGCCAAGGGUAGGCAAGACACCUAAAGACGCGGAGGUUGGUAUAAUUGGGAAGUUCUUGGUAAAGGAGUUGAUAGGGUGAUUUGUUGGAGAGGGUGUGACUGGGCAUUCUGUUAAUGAGGUAGUUUGCGGUGGCUAGAGCUUCUACCCAAAAGGAGACAGGUAGAUGAGAUUGAUGUAGAAGAGUAACCACCGUUUCAAUGAGAUGGCGAUGCUUACGCUCAGCCACCCCAUUCUGUUCGGGAGUGUAUGGACAGGAGGUUUGAUGUAUAAUUCCCAGGGAUUGCAGAAACUGACCAAAGAUGUUAUUUACAUAUUCCUUUCCAUGGUCACUUCGAAAAAGUUUAACAUGAGAAUUGAAUUGUGUUUUGACCAUUUUUUCAAAAGUGACAAAGGUGGUGUAUGCCUGUGAUUUGUGUUUUAGUGGGUACAACCAAGUGUAUUUUGUAAAAUCAUCCACAAAAACAAAUAUAAUAGCGAAAACCAGCAAAUGAAGGAACAGCAGUAGGACCCCAUAGGUCAGAAUGAAUAAGUUGAAAAGGUGCAGUUGUACGCUUCUCAGAUAAAGUAAAAGGUAAUUUAUGAGAUUUAGCAAUUGAACAGGAGUCACAAUUGUUUACAUGAAUGGAAGAAAAACCUAAUUGAGACAUUAAAGAAUUUAUUAUUUGAGUAGACGGGUGACCCAGACGACUGUGCCACAACAGACUGUGGCCAUCAGCCAAAAGAGCCACCGGAGCCACAGGAACGCUUUCUGAAACUGGGUGGGCAGACGAACUUGUGCCAGGAAGAACGUACAGACCAUGCUCACAGGGGCCCUGAAAAAUCACCCUCUUGGUAGUAUUGUCUAGGAUCUGAAAAUCAUUAGAGGUGAACAAGAGUGAGCAAUUAUUGUCUUUUGUGAAUUGGUGAACUGAAAGGAGAUUGGUUUUAAUAGAAGGGACGUGGGUAAGGUUACCUAGGUGAAAGAUAGCGGUGGGGGUGUUAAUGGUACCCGUGCCAGUGUGAGAAAUAUUAAGGGACUCACCGUUGCCAACAGUAAUACCAUUGGAGCCAUGAUAUGUAUUUGGAGCGUUAAGCUUGGAUAGAUCAGAAGUAACGUGCAUGUUGGCCCUAGUAUCCAACAACCAUUCAGAGGAAGGGCCGGCUUGAGAUGCAUAAUUGACACGGUUAUCACUAUUUCGGCUCUCCUCAUACCGAAACCAGCAACGAACAGCGGUGUGUCCUGUUUUCUGACAGAUUUGACAAGUUGGACGAUCCCGCUCGUAAGUGCCCUGCCCGUCGCUGCCGAAGGAGUGCAAGCUGUUGUUGCUGCCGUGCUGCUGACCGUCGUAUGGCGGACGACUGCCCUGCCGACCGCCGCGCCCGCGACCUUCGCUGUUUCUGCCGUAGCCGCCGUGGCUCCCCUGCCGGCCGCCACCACGCCCCCGCGAUAGUUCUGGCUUGCGGUGAGGGCGGUGGCCGGCUCCAUAACAAUGGUUUCUCGGAGAACAAGUUUUCUCUCCAGAUCCACAUUAAUUUCUUCACUUUUUAGCCACGAGGAGAGAGUAGCCAGGUCAACGGGCGUUGGACUUAUGCAAACCGCUUGUUUAAUGGAGGAGUAAGCUGAUGGGAGCCCCCGAACGACGCACAUGAUGAGAUCUUUUUCGGGAAUGAUUUCGUUCACGGUGUCGAGGGUUGUGAUGAUGGUGGAGACCUCGUCUAAAUACUCCGCCAUAGUUUUCGUGCCUUUGGUAAUUGUAUGGAGACGAUUACGCAAUUUAAAAAUAUGAGAGUGGGAAAUUGAUGCAUAGCGUGUUGCGAGGGCCGUCCACAGGGCUGAAGCAGUUGUGUAGGAUCGGACGUGUUUCUGAACCGUGGGAGAGAUGACCGCAAUCAAACAUGAUCGGAUCUGGCCAUCCACGGCUUUCCAGGCGGCAUGGGCCGAAUUGGUUUUUUCUGAUUUGUCCGUGGCGGUGAUGGCUGCCGGCGGCGGUUUUGUGCUUCCAUCGACGUAUUUGAGAAGGUAAUUGGCCUCAAUGGCUGUAAGAACGGUGAUUUUCCAUGUAGGGUAAUUUAUGUCUGAUAAUUUUUCGGGAAUCAGGGCAUGCAGAUGCCUGAGAAGGAUUUUAACGCCAGAAGGAAGUGAAUCGAGAGGAUCCACCUCGGUUGUCAUGGCUGCCGCCGCCCAAGAGAAGAGAGGGAACGAUCGGUGCCCUAAAGGGAGAAAAAAACCUAGAGAAAAGAAGAUCUAGGUUUUCUGGCUCUUGAUACCAUGAAGGAAUAUUGAUUGUAUUGAAGUGUUAACCUAAUAAGGGAAUAAAUGGGAGAUAUAUAUAGGAGAUAUAGGAAGGAGUACUAAUCCUAAUAGGAUGAAAAGGGAAUUUUAAUAUUAUUUAUUUAAUACUAUCUGUUGAAUACUAUUUAUUUAAUACUAUUUAUUUAAUACUAUUUAUUUAAUCCUAAAAGGGAAUUUUGGCCCUUUCUGAUUCCUGCUGAGCUGAAAUUCGACUUUUUAUUUUAAGUCCAAUUUUCAGAUACUAUCCCUGCUGCCACUGGUUUGGAUUUAAACCCAAUUUUUGCUCUUUCAGUUCAGCUCUUUGGAGCUACUGUUACUGCUAUUUUUAUAGGAUUUUAACCCAAUUAUAACAUGUCACCCUUUUCACCAUUUCGAUAAAGGUUGACUCAAGGAAAGAAAGAUGCAAGAGAUAAGAAGGUUCAUGCAAAAAGAUAAAGAAAAUAAUUAGCACAAGUGAAGUAAAAAUAAGUAGGACCGAUACUUGUAAAAUAAAACAACUCAAUGCAGCAAAUUGGUCAAAUAUUUCAUAAUCUAACAAUAACUUAUUCCUUGUUAACUAAUUUAACACCAAUCUUGUUCAUAAUGAACUGAAGCACCCAACUUUGUGAAACAUAGAAUAAUUAAAACUUUGAAAAAAAGGUCAAUUGAUAUUACAUGUCCCAUCUAACAGAAUGUCAAAAGGGUUUUUAAGAAAUCACAACCAACUAUAAAAUGCAAGAGACUACUACUCAUAUUAUUCACUUUAGAGAUAAAUCUGUUUUGAUUUUUGAAAUAAAAAUGAAUAAAACAGACAAUAAUUCGAGCAAGCAGGCAGCCAUAUCAACAAGUUAAUACAAAAAUUCUAUCUCAACCAAUUCAAACAUGAGUCUCCAAGGAUAAUGAGUUAAAAAAAUUAGGAUGCAUAAGGGUUGAGAGCUUUCAAUCAUCCUGGCCUAACUCUUUUGGAAAUGCUAAAGAACAGCCCCAAACGUAAGCAAUUUCUCACUCAAACAGGCCCUCGGAUAACAUUGAAACCCAAAGCAAGUUUCACAAAGAGGCAAGCAGAGAUGGCAUUUCAACAACAAGGACAUACUAUUGCAAUACAGGAGAUAGAAGCUCUAAAAUCAGUGUAAAUAAACAUACUACUUCAGAUCACCUUCUCGAUAUAGCAGGACACAAAAGAAAAUUAAUGUUAAAGAAUGACAAAAAGUCUCACAUCGGUGAUUAAUGAGAUGGGUGGACUCCUUAUAAGGCUUGGGCAAUCCUCCUCCCUUUGAGCUAGCUUUUGGGGUGUGAAUUAGGCCUAAGACCUAAUUUCACAUGGUAUCAGAGCGGGGCAUGUCUCACCCAAUGUUGGGGUCCCCAAAAUUAAAAUUGCGCACACACCAGAUGCUAAGCACUGGGCGUGAAGUGGAGCGUUAAAGAAUGACAAAAGUCCCACAUCGGUGAUUAAUGAGAUGAGUGAACUCCUUAUAAGGCUUGGGCAAUCCUCCUCCCUUUGAGCUAGAUUUUAGGGUGUGAGUUAGGCCUAAGACCACAACUAAGCAUGGAAUUGCGAGUUAACCAAAAGGCUAACGAACAGAAGACAAGGUUGCCAAAAGGCUAAUCACGUAUAACUCAAAGUGUUUAUCGAACAUUUUAACAUACAAGAGAAGCUAAAAAUAAGGGCUAUCUCACAUAAACAAGAAUGAAGAAACUUAGCAACCAAAAUAUUUUCAACAAAAUAUGGAUUUAAUGGUAAAUAGACAAAGAACUAAACAACAUCUGGACAAACAAGAAAAUUAGCUUAAGACAUUGAAUGGACAGCAAAACCAAAAACCAAAAUUACUAGCAGAUACAACAACUAAACUGAUCUAAUCCAGUCAUUCAACACACAACAAAAUAAUAAACUUAUUUAAAGGAACAAAGAAUUACUUUUCGCUGAGCAGUGAACUAAAACGACGAGUUGCGAAUCCACCACUUCAACAACCACACACACAAAAAAGGAACUAUUGAACCGAGAUUUCCCAAAACCUAUUAGGGGUACUCUCAAGCCUCAAAAGUCCGUCCCAUGAACAGUGAAGAGAGCGGCUUUUAUAACACCCAGAAUCUCCAAAUUUCUAAGAAGAAAUGAUGUGUAAUUUUGAGAAUUUUCAAAAUCCCUCAACAGAUAGGGAUUUUCAAUUUGUUAGCGUACGAAUUUUAAUGGAUAUGCGUUGAUUUUGAGCAAGGAUGAUCCAGGAAGGCGAGAUUUUGACAUCUAUACAAUUCUCAAAACGAUCUUGGUACGGAGAGAAUAAGGGAAACAGAAGCCACGCACGAUGGAUUUGGGGCUUGUGUUCAUUGGAAUGCGAUUCGGGUCGCCUGGUUUGCGAUUUGGUCGCUGUUCUGGGUUUCAUCGUGAUGAAGAAGAAGAAUACACGGGUGGGGGUUGGGUCGGGUCGGUUCGGCUGGUAUACGCUGUGUGGGUAUUGGUAUGGACAACUUUUACAUAUAGCAAAUAAAAAAUUCAUAUUUGUAUGCUAUAGCAAAAUUUGUAUAAUUACGAUCCAUAAUAAACAUAUAAACUGUAUAAUUCGCUAUACAUGUACAUUUGAAGCAAAUUGUAUAAAACGAAGUGUAUAAAACAAGAAAGAAAAAACACUUGGGCAGAGAACUGUAUAAAAACGAAGUAUAUAAAACGAAUUGUAUUAUAAUAAGUCUAUAGAACGAUUAUAUACAAUUUGAAUUUGUAUAAGAUGAGAAAGAGAGAAAGACAAAAGAGACUUGACAAGGA
rnacentral:lncRNA from 1 species